CACCCCUCAAGCCUUGCUUGGUGUUGGAGCACUACCGUUUAUAUAAAGCGGUAGGCUCUGAAAUUCAGUGGCGGGCUCGCUAAGACUCUGAGCGUAGUAGUUUAUCACCUCGCUUUGGAAGGAUUAGCGGUGCUCUUGCCGUAAAACCCCCCAACUUCUGAA
rnacentral:misc_RNA from 1 species